YUACGUGCCAGCAGCCGCGGUAAUACGGAGGGUGCGAGCGUUAAUCGGAAUAACUGGGCGUAAAGGGCACGCAGGCGGUGACUUAAGUGAGGUGUGAAAGCCCCGGGCUUAACCUGGGAAUUGCAUUUCAUACUGGGUCGCUAGAGUACUUUAGGGAGGGGUAGAAUUCCACGUGUAGCGGUGAAAUGCGUAGAGAUGUGGAGGAAUACCGAAGGCGAAGGCAGCCCCUUGGGAAUGUACUGACGCUCAUGUGCGAAAGCGUGGGGAGCAAACAGGAUUAGAUACCCUGGUAGUCCACGCUGUAAACGAUGUCGAUUUGGGGGUUGAACUUUAAGUUUGGCGCCCGUAGCUAACGUGAUAAAUCGACCGCCUGGGGAGUACGGCCGCAAGGUUAAAACUCAAAUGAAUUGACGGGGGCCCGCACAAGCGGUGGAGCAUGUGGUUUAAUUCGAUGCAACGCGAAGAACCUUACCUACUCUUGAC
rnacentral:rRNA from 1 species